GACGAACGCUGGCGGCGUGCUUAACACAUGCAAGUCGAACGGAAAGGCCCUGCUUUUGUGGGGUGCUCGAGUGGCGAACGGGUGAGUAACACGUGAGUAACCUGCCCCUGACUUUGGGAUAACUUCAGGAAACUGGGGCUAAUACCGGAUAGGAGCUCCUGCUGCAUGGUGGGGGUUGGAAAGUUUCGGCGGGUGGGGAUGGACGCGCGGCUUAUCCGCUUGUUGGUGGGGUAGUGGUUUACCAAGGCUUUGACGGGUAGCCGGCCUGAGAGGGUGACCGGCCACAUUGGGGCUGAGAUACGGCCCCGACUCCUCCGCGGGGCAGCAGUGGCGAAUAUUGCACAAUGGGCCGAACCCUGAUGCAGCAACGCCGCGUGCGGGAUGACGGCCUUCUGGUUGUAAUCCGCUUUCGCCUGUGCCGAAGCGUGAGUGACGGUAAUGGGUAAAGAAGCACCGGCUAACUACGUG
rnacentral:rRNA from 1 species